rnacentral:rRNA from 1 species
UGGCACCAGACUUGCCCUCCAAUUGAUCCUCGUUAAAGGGUUUAGAGUGUACUCAUUCCGAUUACGGGGCCUCGGAUGAGUCCCGUAUCGUUAUUUUUCGUCACUACCUCCCCGUGCCGGGAGUGGGUAAUUUGCGCGCCUGCUGCCUUCCUUGGAUGUGGUAGCCGUUUCUCAGGCUCCCUCUCCGGAAUCGAACCCUGAUUCCCCGUUACCCGUUACAACCAUGGUAGGCGCAGAACCUACCAUCGACAGUUGAUAAGGCAGACAUUUGAAAGAUGCGUCGCCGGUGCGAUGACCGUGCGAUCAGCGUAAAGUUAUUCAGAGUCACCAAGUUGUACGAUGACGAGCGAGAACCCGCCACCGAUUGGUUUUGAUCUAAUAAAAGCACUCCUUCCGUCUCCGGUCGGAGCUCUGUUUGCAUGUGUUAGCUCUAGAAUUACCACAGUUAUCCAAGUAAUUGUGGGUACGAUCUAAGGAACCAUAACUGAUUUAAUGAGCCUUUCGCGGUUUCACCUUAAUUUGGCUUGUACUGAGACAUGCAUGGCUUAAUCUUUGAGACAAGCAUAUGACUACUGG